GUUAUCUUCACCGGAAGCUGGUUAGCUGCACGCGCUGAACCGGACAGAAGGAACCUUCAACAGACGGCAAGAUGGCGACCAGAGCAGAAAUAAGGGCAAGAGGAGAAGGAGGAGGAGCAGCCUGCAGCAGUGAAGGAGGAAGAGGAGGAGGAGGAGGAGGAGGAGGAGGAGUACGUGGUGGAGAAGGUGUUGGACCGCAGAGUGGUGAAGGGAAGAGUAGAGUUCCUGCUGAAAUGGAAGGGGUUCUCAGAUGAGGAGAACACAUGGGAGCCACAAGACCACCUGGACCUGGACCUGAUCACCGAGUACCUGCAGGACCACAAGGAGACGGAGG